rnacentral:rRNA from 1 species
AACGAACGCUGGCGGCAUGCCUAACACAUGCAAGUCGAACGAGACCUUCGGGUCUAGUGGCGCACGGGUGCGUAACGCGUGGGAACCUGCCCUUAGGUUCGGAAUAACUCCCCGAAAGGGGUGCUAAUACCGGAUAAUGUCUUCGGACCAAAGAUUUAUCGCCUUGGAUGGGGCCGCGUUGGAUUAGCUAGUUGGUAGGGUAAAAGCCUACCAAGGCGACGAUCCAUAGCUGGUCUGAGAGGAUGAUCAGCCACACUGGGACUGAGACACGGCCCAGACUCCUACGGGAGGCAGCAGUGGGGAAUAUUGGACAAUGGGCGAAAGCCUGAUCCAGCAAUGCCGCGUGAGUGAUGAAGGCCUUAGGGUUGUAAAGCUCUUUUACCCGGGAUGAUAAUGACAGUACCGGGAGAAUAAGCUCCGGCUAACUCCGUG